GAAUGCCAUCCAGCCCAAGGUGCUCCGGCGUGAUUUCCUCGCGCCGGGGUGAAACGGGAAAGAGGUGCGGCUUGGUCGAUUCGACCGCGGCCAAUUCCUCUGCUGCCCCCGCAACGGUAAGUGUGCGCGGGCGCAUCUGACCGCCGGUCCUCAACCGGCAAGCCACUGUGAACCCCCAAAGGUUCAUGGGAAGGCGAUGCGCCUGAUCCCACAAGCCCGGAGACCGGCCCUGGGUUUGCUUGUUCG
rnacentral:ncRNA from 2 species